GAUGAACGCUGGCGGCGUGCCUAAUACAUGCAAGUCGAGCGAACAGAUGAGGAGCUUGCUCCUCUGACGUUAGCGGCGGACGGGUGAGUAACACGUGGAUAACCUACCUAUAAGACUGGGAUAACUUCGGGAAACCGGAGUUAAUACCGGAUAAUAUAUUGAACCGCAUGGUUCAAUAGUGAAAGACGGUUUUGCUGUCACUUAUAGAUGGAUCCGCGCCGCAUUAGCUAGUUGGUAAGGUAACGGCUUACCAAGGCGACGAUGCGUAGCCGACCUGAGAGGGUGAUCGGCCACACUGGAACUGAGACACGGUCCAGACUCCUACGGGAGGCAGCAGUAGGGAAUCUUCCGCAAUGGGCGAAAGCCUGACGGAGCAACGCCGCGUGAGUGAUGAAGGUCUUCGGAUCGUAAAACUCUGUUAUUAGGGAAGAACAAAUGUGUAAGUAACUAUGCACGUCUUGACGGUACCUAAUCAGAAAGCCACGGCUAACUACGUG
rnacentral:rRNA from 1 species